rnacentral:siRNA from 1 species
UCUUUAAUUCUGCUGCCUCUG